rnacentral:misc_RNA from 1 species
GGUUUAUAUUCCAGGCAAAGGUGAUUUGAAGAAUUUAAGAAUGUCUGUGUUUUGGGUUUGUUAUUUAUGAUUAGUGAUUGACGUAGGACAGUAAUUGAUUGGGGUGGAACUCAUUAGGGAAUUUAGUUUAUAUUAACAUAUUUGUUUGGUUAGGUUCUUAAUUAUAAUCCAGGUUUUAUUAACCUCCUAAUCAAUAAUCUAACAUAAGCUCAUUUGAAUUCCUCCUCUUUAACAGUGGAUAUUCUCCUAGCAUGUCUAAUUUUUGGCGUAGGUUGAACAUAGUUUUAUUGAUGCUUUUGCUGUUGAAAAUUUUGUUGAAUUUUCUUUUU